rnacentral:snRNA from 1 species
AGAGUUAAAUAAAGAUAGGACAU